rnacentral:rRNA from 1 species
ACAGCAGUGGGGAAUUUUCCGCAAUGGGCGAAAGCCUGACGGAGCAAUACCGCGUGAGGGAAAAAGGCUCUUGGGUUGUAAACCUCCCUUCUCAACGAAGAAUCCAAUGACGGUACCUGAGGAAUAAGCAUCGGCUAACUCCGUGCCAGCAGCCGCGGUAAUACGGAGGAUGCAAGCGUUAUCCGGAAUGAUUGGGCGUAAAGCGUCCGCAGGUGGCUGUGUAAGUCUGCUGUUAAAGAGUGAGGCUCAACCUCAUAAAAGCAGUGGAAACUACACGGCUAGAGUGCGUUCGGGGCAGAGGGAAUUCCUGGUGUAGCGGUAAAAUGCGUAGAGACCAGGAAGAACACCGGUGGCGAAAGCGCUCUGCUAGGCCGCAACUGACACU